CAUGAUAUUUAAAUAGCACAAGCUUUGCUCUCUUUUUUAUUAUUUGUUGUGCUGAAGACCUGUUUGCUUGUUAAGUGGUCUUUUUUGAAUAGUUACUGGCAAGGAAUCAGGAAAGUGUAUGAAGGCAUCUUGUACACAUUGCAAAUGCCAAAUUGUCCCUUUUUGCUUUUCUUUCUUUUUUUUUUUUUCCCUCAAAGAGACCCUGCCCUUACUAUUUCCUUUACAUCUCCCACUUGGUUUUUAACAUUUCUUACAGAGCAGUUCGUUUCAAUGGGAGCCUAGCGUGUAUUGUGGUCAUUGCCCACGGAGUAGAGUUUCAUUGAUACUGCUAUUAUUUUUGUCAUAGUGUUGCUCAGAGGCAGGUUGUAUUGCUAGUACACGUGCAAGGGUACAGUUGCACUGUGCACGGUGGUUCAGAUCUGCAGCUCCUGCGAGCUGUGUUGGGAGCUGCACAUCUAAUCUGCUGGGCACACUACUCUGAAACCUUACCCUUCCAGCAGAGACGUAAUCAGCCAAGUAACAGCUUUCCAAGUGUUUUUGCGGCCUUAAACUGGGACUCCUCCUUGCUGGCAGUCGUUCAGUGCUGGAUUGUGUGCUCUUCGUUUCUGGCUAGCAACAGCGCUUUGCAGUCGUAGCCACUGAUUUCCCUUCUUACUUACGAGUAGCAUUUUUGUGUGUGUUUUACUGUGACCUGUCCUAGUAGGUGCGCAGUUAAAACAAGCUGCUGCCUAGGUGCAAAGUGCAUGGCUCUGCCUGGGGGAGAGCGUGAGUGUGUGGGCAGUUUGUGAUGUGCAAAUGCCCCGUUAGGUGCUGGCAGGGAGCUCCGAUGGCUCCAAGGUCCUUUGUGAUGAGCUGGUAUUCAGCCUUUGGACAAUUUACGUUCUUGGAUGGGCAUGGAAAAUAAAAGCGUUUGUGGUGUAUGCAAGCGGGGUUUGGUCUGUAGCUGAGUGUUCUGUCGCGUUUUUCCUGUGUAUUUGAGAAGGGUUUUGGUGUGUGAUGUACGAGUGCUGACCUGGGUCAUCUCUUCACUUCUGCUCAGGACUUGAAAAGAAUUUGUGGUUACUGCUGAGAACAAAUCUGUUCACCUGCCAAGGCAAGUGUAUCAACUCUGUGUGUUUGUACCUCAGACGAAACACUGAGAAGCUUCUGCCCCAGCCAGAGAACCUGCUGCUGGCCUCCGUGUAGGGUUCCCCUCGCUUAGCUGGUGCCUUGCUACUGGUGAUAGUCACGCUUCCUCUGCCUUCGCCUGUCUUAGCUUCUGCACAUUAGAGUGCUCUGAGGUCUCAUCGAGUUCACUUCAGCAGAAUUGCAUCCCACACAGGUGGGGAGAGUAGUUGGACAUCCUGGGGAGCGGUGGCAGAGCUGUCUUGCAUACUCCUGUCCAUCUUGUUCUGCUUCUAGGCAUCUGGGGAGGCCUGAGGACGAGUGAGUAGGUAUGGAGAGCUCUUGGAAGGGGAAGAGGAAGAAGUACCAUACUUUACUGUGAUAGCUGAGGACAACACAUGUCCCCAUUCCUUCAGCUAGGCCUCUCAGAAGCAUUUGCACUUGAAUCUUUCUUCCAUCACUGCUGAAAACCGUUCAUGUUGUACCCCUCAACUGAAUUACUUCUAGAGCUGAUUGUUGGCUGAGCAGUGUGGUGGGCCUGGUACUGACGUCCUUCCAGGAGCAGGCAGGAGAAGGUAGACUCAGACUCCUUUGGGAAAUGCAUAUAAAGUUGUAUCAGUAUGUUGGUUAAACUAAGCCAAGUUCUGUGUUUUGCUCCUAGUACAUGUUCUCAGAAUGUAUCAUAAUGGUUUAUUUGGAACAGCUUCAGCUUAUGUUGUGAAUGUGAAUUAAUUAACAUUAGUAUGAAUUGCAUAUUGUGGAAUGGAAUUUGUUUUUCUAUGUCUUCUGUCAUACUCAGGCUACUUCAAACACUUCAAAGUAAUGUGUCCAGUUAUAAUGUGGCCACGCAUCUGUGGGCUAAUGUAGCUGUCCUUCUGGGGCUCACAGGAGACCAAAUUUAAGGAUGGUUUCACUGAUUGGGGUAGGAAGAAUACUGGCUGUGCUGUUAACACUACUCCUGGUACUUUUUAGAAAGCAUUUGUGACAGACUUCUUGUGUUGGUGGACUGGAUCUUACUGUUUAUUACUUCAUUUAUAACUCUCAAUGCAGUGUAAACAGCAUGAUGACGAAUCACAGAGCACAUUAUUCAUUAACUGUUCAAGCCUCAUUGUUGCAUUCCUGGUCCUGAUUAUUCACGUCAUGGCAUACUACAUGAAAAAGCCGGUAGCCCUUGAUUUCCUACAGCAGGACUGAAGCUACCUUUUACCACUCAGCAGCAGCAUGAUGUAGCAAAGCAGGUAGACUGUCUUUCAGUCCUGGGUGGUGGGAUCCUGUUCAUCUGUGUGGAAAAUGAGGGCUUUAUUAGUUGUUUGCAGGUCUCUGGAGGGGAGGGAGGUGGCUUGUUUCACUCAAAAACAAUUCCUCUCAGCUGGCUAGAGAGGAGUAUGGAUAAGAUCCAGCAUACAAACGUCCCCAAGUAAAAGGAUUAUAAUGGAAAUGUUGAUGGCCAGUCAGUAUAGAGAUAUUAGCAAGCAUUUAUAUAACUCAAGAGUUGUUGACUACUGUAGAUGUGUUGUUUUAGGCUUUAUUCCCACUGGCGUCCCUCCUGUUGGCUUUUGGAAGGUUGGGAUCAGACCCCUUUGGCUCGAAUUUGUGGUGAAGUUAAUUAAGACUGAAAGCAGCAUGCAUGUUCUGAAACAGUCCUGCAGUUUCAGGGAGGAGAACAGUGGAAAUAACUGACCUCUGCAAUGAUACUGUAGUACUCUAUGGUAUCAUCAAGCCAUACAAUGAAAGUAAAACUUUCCUUGAGUUAUUUGGAAUGUUUAUUUUGACCUCGGGCCUGUAAAGUUGCCUGUUAGUGGAAGCCUGGACAUGUUUUUUGUGCAUUCCUCACAGAGCUGUUUUUUGACCAGGAUAAAAACCCAUCUCUGUAAUUAACAUACACCUUGCUGAAUGUGAGAACGGACAUUCACUGUUUUCGGUUGGUAUUAUUAUAUGAAGGCUCCUCUACAGCUUUGGCAGCUUGGUAGGAAGGAGUGGCAGGUUAGUACUUUCUCAGCUGCACUGCUCUGACGUGUGUUACUUCUUAAGACACCUAUCUGUUAUAAUAAAAAUAUUUGUAACCAAAGGUUAGAUAAUUACAAAAGAAAAAGGUUGAGCUCAGUACUGAAAUGGAGAAAAAAAGGCAAAAGGAAAGAAUUUUUUUUUUUUUGAAGAGCAGUAGAAUCAAGGUGAGAAAGGAUUACCUUUCCAUAAACACUUAAAAAAUCCUCGGUGGCUCGUUAGAUAUGAAGAUUGCUGUCAGUUGUGGAAUAUGAAUGGACCAAAGUCUGAACCAAUAAGUACCAAUAAGUAAUUCAGUUGAGAUUCAGAUCUCAGUGGCACUCCAGAAAAGAGAAUGAAUGGUGGCUUUGCUAAAAACAACAAAAGUCAAUUUGGGAAAAUGUAUGAGUACUGCUAGAAAAGCAGAACAAUACAUCUCUAUGUAAAACUGCAUAUGAGUGGUGUAAGUGCUGUUCUGGCACAGUUAGGGCUGUUGAAAUAGUAAGCAGGUAGCAGAAAUUUACUGUUUAAUAUUUCACAGAUAAUAAUUGUUCUGAAUGCUUUAAAUAGUACAGGAAAUGUAGUGUCACAAACUUGACAUUUGAAUAUUAAUAUUGAUACUGAAACAGUCUCACCACAAAGGAUUGUAGGACUGCAGGAGGAAAGACAGCAUUUUCAUCAGAUAAAAACACAGCAGGUCUAAAGCCCUUCAGAUACGCUGAAAAAAAAUGCCAAAUGAGAACUGGGGCAAAACUGUCUUUCAGGUUGGGACAGUCUAUAUCCACUUUGGGGAAUAACCCUCUAGAGAUCCUGGAGCCCAGGAAAGAGUUUUAAUGCAAAGCAUCAGAAAAAAAAAAACCGCUGCAGCAUCUCAUGUGAGAGAGGGGAGAGAAGAAAGGAGACUCGCGCAGUAACAUCUCAAAACACUCAAACGGUUUGAGGUGAGUGACUGGAGGGUCUUCUCAUAAGUUACAGUUAGUUUGUGAUUAACUUAAGCCUUUCUGCCUCUGACUGUCGUGAUAUCCGCAUCCAUGGCAAUAAAAAUAGCUGAGAGAGGGAAAGAACAACAGCAAAAAUAUGUAAUGCGC
ensembl:lncRNA